AGCAACAAAUGCCCUGCUUCCAGGAAAAGCCUCUAAGCCUCAGGUAACAUCAAAUCGUACCCCAAACCGACACAGGUGGUCAGGUAGAGAAUACCAAGGCGCUUGAGAGAACUCGGGUGAAGGAACUAGGCAAAAUGGUGCCGUAACUUCGGGAGAAGGCACGCUGACACGUAGGUGAAGUGGUUUACCCAUGGAGCUGAAGUCAGUCGAAGAUACCAGCUGGCUGCAACUGUUUAUUAAAAACACAGCACUGUGCAAACACGAAAGUGGACGUAUACGGUGUGACGCCUGCCCGGUGCCGGAAGGUUAAUUGAUGGGGUCAGCGCAA
rnacentral:rRNA from 1 species